rnacentral:rRNA from 1 species
UACGAAGGGUGCUAGCGUUGUUCGGAAUUACUGGGCGUAAAGAGCGCGUAGGCGGUUAUCCAAGUCAGGGGUGAAAUCCCGGAGCUUAACUCCGGAACUGCCUUUGAAACUGUAUAGCUGGAGUGUGUGAGGGGAUAGCGGAAUUCCUAAUGUAGAGGUGAAAUUCGUAGAUAUUAGGAGGAACACCGGUGGCGAAGGCGGCUAUCUGGCGCACAACUGACGCUGAGGCGCGAAAGCGUGGGGAUCAAACAGG